ensembl:rRNA nuclear encoded rRNA 5S 76
GUCUACUGUCAUAUGACCCUGAACAUGCCCCAUUUUGUCUGAUUUUAGAACAGAGGCAGGCCUGGCUAGUAUUUGGAUGGGAGACUGCCUGGGAAUACCAGGUGGUAUAGGCU